CACGAUAAAAUUGCCAAAAUGUGGUCAACUCUGGUCGUGUUUCUUUAUAGAAUCGUUUAAUCCACAUUCUGAACUGUUUGGAAGGCCAGAUAGAGCCAGUCAUCAUAACUACAAGAUGUGUCUCAGUUUUGAUUGUGCUGGUAUUGACUUGUCAUCAGCAACAAUCUCAGCAUCAUCGGCUGGAUAAUCAGCAUCUUGUCUGAUUAAUUGGAGAAUCCACCGAUGUUGAUCGAGUUACGGAUCUCUUCUUCCCCCUCCUUUUAAAUCCCCUCUGUCCUCGUGUACUUCCAUGUGUGGGUGGGUGUAUUCACGAGUCUGAGGCCCUAUUACUUAUCCCUCCUGGUGGAUUCAACGUAUCACUGGAUGGAGCACUUUUGGAUGUCUGGCCGUAUUUCCCAGGCACAAAGGUAGGACAAAUAUUUCUCUAUCCUUUUUAUUAUUUGCCUUAUUUGGUGGCGUUGAUUGUCAGUCGUUAGAUAGUACAGAGCAGGAUUAUUCCUGAGCUAGGCUAGGCGGUUGACUGGAACUGUUUUCACUUGCCGUUUGAUGAGUUAUGACCAAGAGGGUUCUGCCGCCACACCGGCACCUCCUGGUUUAAUAAUAUGUUUUCCUUUUUAUUUUGAAAGAAAUGUUUUCAAUUCAAUUGGAUUUAUGAUUUUCUUUACAUGAAAAGAUUCUCCCCAUUUUUAAAAUGUAUGACUCAAAUGAGCGAUUUUUUCGGUAGCCAAGAACAAAGGAUGUAACAUAACAAUCGAUUUCCUGAAUUCAUUUCUAUUCCACAUAAUUUUUCUUCCUGUUGCCUCAGUUGUUUUUCGCUAUGUAUAGGCUAGAGCCGGUGUGCUGCUACCUGGGCAAACGUAAUCGAUUAUUAAUCACAGUGGUGGUGUCGGGUGGGGUGGGGGGAGAGAGAAAAACAAGAGAGACCCCACACUUCCGCCGCUUCUCUUCUGCAACAAUAACAACUUGAACGUUAUAAUGGGAACGCCAGCGAGAGUUGAUAUGGAAACCACAUCCCCCCCUGUCCUAUUAUGUAGCAAAGGAUCAGCGAUAUCAUCAUCAGCGCGAUAUAUAUCCACUAUACUAGACGGAGCUAGAGAGAGAGUAUCACGUGACACCCGCCGCACUCUUUCAUCAUUAUAUUAUUAUAAUUUGGAGGUUACACCACC